ACUGAGCGGGUUUCUCCAGUCAGUAUCCUCAACAUCACCAGCUCAGAGUGGCUGGACGUCCUUGACGUCUGAGAACAGAACAAUCCUGACUUCCACCACGAGCCCAGCAGUUGUGACCAGGCAUGAAGCAGGAGCACGUCUGCCUGCCAGAGGCAAGGAGGGUGAGCCGGAGGGUGCCCGCAGUAAGCCCGGGCAGAGGCCUGAUGUGGACGAUGGCAGAGAGGAAGAUCAAGAAAAGGGGUUGAGGACUUAGCGGAGCUCCCACUUCAAGUGCAGUAAGUGGAUGGGGAGGAAGUUAGGGUGUCUCGAAAAGGGAGGAAGGAGUCUGUUGAGGCUGGGACACCACGGGGUGGAAGUAGGGUGCUGCCUGGCCCCCUGCCGAUGGGGACAGAGGCAAGGUGCACCAGCUGCACCGGUGGAGGUGGUGCCUGUGGCCAAACUCCGCCCAGAUGGACUGAAGGGAAAGGGGCCACGGUUGGCAGCUGGCCAUAAAAGGGGGUGCUUGCCAGGCUAGUUUGGGAAGUGGUACCCAAGUGCUGGGGCAGCGCCUGCACCUUGCGAAGGCUUUCUUCUCCACCAGCUGAGCCAAAGGAGUCACUGGCUUUACACAGAACACUGGUGGUUCGGAAUCAAGAAUUGGACAGACCUUUCACAAAUGCCGGGAUCACAGCAAUUAGCAGUAAUAUCACCAAAGCCAUAAACAACACCCCUCAGUUUAAAGACUGACUCAAAAAGCUCCUCACUCAAUGACUACAACGGUUGCAAGAUAGUGAUUUUUCAGCUCCAUCACGACUUCUGCUUCUUAGUUGGUAUUCUACUCAAUGGAGAAGAUUUUCCUUCUCAACUGGGCCUCAUAUCAAGCUUUGCUGACAUCAAGAGUUCAACUUUCAGCACGUGGACUUUAAAAUGUCAGAUUAGAUCUCUGAUGAAGGAAAAGUAAGAUCAUCAGGGCAUUCCCAUGCCUCGGGAGGAAAUCAGGACUCCACUCAGAUCCUUUCUGAACUAAGGCUCUCCAGUAAUCAAGACACACAAUCAGAUUUCAGAAUCAUUGUGCAUAAACAAAAAGGCAUCUGAGCAGCAUGGCUCCCCUCAACUGCUACGUGGACACUGAGCAGAAAAACUGGAGGAGCUUCAUCGUUCAAUCACAUGCCACUUCAAAUGCCACUGCCUUCACUGCAGCCAGACGAAAUCUCCUCUUUCUCAGAAUGUCCAGUGUGAGUUAAGUCCUAUGAUGUGAAUUUUGUACCUUUAUAAAAAUUAUGCAAAGUUUUAACUCAUCCACUGACAAAGCUGCUCUCCUUUACCCAGCCCAGUCAGGCUCCUCCGAGCCCUCUUCUUGACUAGGCCUCAACCUUGGUCCACAAGGUUGUACCUUUAGCACAAAGAUUCCAUCCACCCCACACACUAGGAGACGUGAACAAACACUGGCAUGGUUUCCAGCAGCUCAAAGCCACAUCCUUAGGGUGAUGAACCCAACCCCUUUAAAAUGCCUGUCCGAGGAGGAAAGCACUAGGCUUCUGAAGGAAUCUGCUGUUGGUUCAGCCAAUACCUGACAGGUUCCUGACCUCCCUACCUUAGAGCAUGUAUUAAGAGAAGCUUAUAGUUAUAAGUUCUUCCUCUCCCUUUGAGAUGCAUGUAUGUCGCCUACAACCCGGGAAUGCCUUUCUCAAAAGACCCAGGAACCAUUCUUCUGAACUAUCAUCAUUGAGAAAGACAGGGCCCCUGUCUCCCAGUCUCCGUGGGAGUGUAGGAACCUACCUUCUGCAUUACAGUUUGCAAACCCAAUGGACUAAUUAUAUCCACCAACCCCCUUCCUGCUUGUUUGUCAUUUUCCAUGCCCCCGACUCUGUGGAAGCCUCAGCUCAUUCACCCUCCCUACCCUUCAUUCUCUGCCUCUAAUACCCAGUUACCUCUGCAGAAAUCUGAACUGGGCCCUGCUCUCUCCCCUGCUGCAGUUGUUACUGAAUAAAAUCGGUCUUUUCCACCUUUAAUUAUUAUCCGGCUUUGCUUAUCUUUGACACCUUUUAGGUUGCAAGUUGCUUGAGGCAAGUGCUAUUGCCUCCCCCUAAAGGACUUAUUCUAUUUAGCACACAGUAGGUCCUUGCAGAGCGCCCCGCAGCGGGACAUAAGGAUGGAAGUGGUCCCUGACCCAAGCAGUCCCCACCCCAAAACAGGAGCACUGAAGCCCAUGAGGCACAUUUCAUACCAUCCCUGCAAAGCCCGGUAAAAACACCUCUGUUUACAGCCCCCGAAUUCCCAGUUGCUCCUGUGACCCGUUUCCCUCCCAAACACACUGUAUAAGACGCGGAGUCAGAGGCACGCACUCCUUUGGAGGGGCCCCAGGCUCCUGACCUCGUCC